rnacentral:rRNA from 1 species
AUUGAACGCUGGCGGCAGGCCUAACACAUGCAAGUCGAACGAGUGGCGGACGGGUGAGUAAUGUCUGGGAAACUGCCUGAUGGAGGGGGAUAACUACUGGAAACGGUAGCUAAUACCGCAUACCAUCAGAUGUGCCCAGAUGGGAUUAGCUAGUAGGUGGGGUAACGGCUACCCUAGUCGCCGAUCCCUAGCUGGUCUGAGAGGAUGACCAGCCACAAUGGGACUGAGACAGGGUCCAGAUUCCUCCGGGAGGCAGCAGUGGGGAAUCUUGGACAAUGGGCGCAAGCCUGAAGCAGCCAUGCGGCGUGUAGGAAGAAGGCCUUCGGGUUGUAAAGUACUUGCAGCGGGGAGGCGGUACCCGCAGAAGAAGCACCGGCUAACUCCGUGCCAGCAGCCGCGGUAAUAC